CUUGGUUGAUCCUGCCAUUAGUCAUAUGCUUGUCUCAAAGAUUAAGCCAUGUAUGUGUAAGUAUGAACUAAUUCAAACUGUGAAACUGUGAAUGGCUCAUUAAAUUAGUUAUAGUUUGUUUGAUGGUAUCUACUACUCGGAUAAUCGUAGUAAUUGUAGAGCUAAUACAUGCAACAAACCUUGACUUCUAGAAGGGAUGCAUUUAUUAGAUAAAAGGUUAACCCGGGCUAUGCCCGUUGCUUUGAUGAUUCGUGAUAACUCGAUGGAUUGCACGGCCUUUGUGCCGGUGAUGCAUCAUUCAAAUUUUUGCCCUAUCAACUUUUGAUGGUAUGAUAGUGGCCUACUAUGGUGGUGACGAGUGACAGAGAAUUAGGGUUUGAUUCCGGAGAGGGAGCCUGAGAAACGGCUACCACAUCUAAAGAAGGCAGUAGGCGUGCAAAUUACCCAAUCCUGACAUGGGGAGGUAGUGACAAUAAAUAACAAUAUCGGGCUUUAUAAUUUUGGUAAUUGGAAUGACUACAAUCUAAAUCCCUUAAUGAGGAUGCAUUAGAGGGUAAGUCUGGUGCUAGCAACCACGGUAAUUCCAGCUCCAAUAGCGUAUAUUUAAGUUGUUGCAGCCUCAUGAUAAGCACCGGUCUGCUCAUCCCUACUGUUGGUGAUGUGCUCCUGGACUUAAUUACCUGGGUUAUUCCUCUGGCGCUAUUACUUUGAAGAAAUUAGAGUACUCAAAGUAGGCCUACGCUUGUAUACAUUAGCAUGGGAUAAAAUCAUAGGAUUUCAAUCCUAUUGUGUUGGCCUUUGGGAUCAGAGUAAUGAUUAACAAGGACAGUCGGGGGCAUGCGUAUUUCAUAGUCAGAGGUGAAAUCCUUGGAUUUAUGAAAGAUGAACAACUGCGAAAGCAUUUGCCAAGGAUGUUUUCAUUAAUCAAGAACGAAAGUUAUGGGCUCGAAGACGAUCAGACACCGUCUUAGUCUCAACCAUAAACGAUGCCGACCAGGGAUUGACGAAUGUUACUUUUAGGACUUCGUCGACACCUUAUGAGAAAUCAAAGUCUUUGGGUUCUUAGGGGAGUAUGGUCACAAGGCUGAAACUUAAAGGAAUUGAUGGAAAGGCACCACUAGGAGUGGAGCCUAUAAUUUAAUUUGACUCAACAGGAGGAAACUUACCAGGUCCAGACAUAGUAAGGAUUGACAGAUUGAGAGCUCUUUCUUGAUUCUAUGCAUGGCGGUGCAUGGCUGUUCUUAGUUGGUGAAGGGAUUUGUCUGGUUAAUUUCGUUAACGAACGAGACCUCAGCCUGCUUACUUGCUUCGUAGAGGUGAUCUUUCAUGGCUAGAUUCGUAGAGGGACUAUGGCCACUUAGGCCAAGAAAGUUUGAGGUAAUAACAUGUCUGUGAUGCCCUUAGAUGUUCUGGGCCGCUCGUACGCUACACUGAUGUAUUCAAUGAGUCUAUAGCCUUGGCCGAUAGCCUCGGGUAAUCUUCAAAAUUUCAUCAUGAUGGGGAUAGAUCAUUGCAAUUGGUGGCCUUCAACGAGGAAUUUCUAGUAAGCACGAGUCAUUAGCUCGCGUUGACUAUGUCCUUGCCUUUUGUACACACCGUCUGUUGUUCCUACCGACUGAAUGGUCUGGUGAAGUGUUCGGAUCACGGCGAUGUGAAGGGUUCGUCGCCUGCGACAUCGCGAGAAGUCCACUGGACCUUAUCAUUUAGAGGAAGGAGAAGUCGUAACAUGGUUUUCGUAGGUGAACCUACGGAAG
rnacentral:rRNA from 1 species